rnacentral:rRNA from 1 species
UGGGGAAUCUUGCACAAUGGGGGCAACCCUGAUGCAGCGACGCCGCGUGAGCGAUGGAGCCCUUCGGGGCGUAAAGCUCUUUCGACCGGAACGAUAAUGACGGUACCGGGAGAAGAAGCUGCGGCUAACUACGUGCCAGCAGCCGCGGUAAUACGUAGGCAGCAAGCGUUGUUCGGAGUUACUGGGCGUAAAGAGUGCGUAGGCGGUUUUCUAAGUUCGGUGUGAAAUCUCCCGGCUUAACUGGGAGGGUGCGCCGAAGACUGGGAAGCUGGAGUGUGGGAAAGGCAGGCGGAAUUCCUGGUGUAGCGGUGAAAUGCGUAGAUAUCAGGAGGAACACCGGCGGUGUAGACGGCUUGCUAGACCAUAACUGACGCUGAGGCACGGAAGCGUGGGUAGCAAACA